rnacentral:rRNA from 1 species
UACAGAGACUGCAAGCGUUAUUCGGAUUCACUGGGCGUAAAGGGUGCGCAGGCGGCCAAGUGUGUUAGGCGUGAAAGCCUGGGGCUUAACUCCAGAAUUGCACCUAAAACUACAUGGCUAGAGCAUUGGAGAGGGUAGCGGAAUUCACGGUGUAGCAGUGAAAUGCGUAGAUAUCGUGAGGAACACCAGAGGCGAAGGCGGCUACCUGGACAAUUGCUGACGCUCAGGCACGAAAGCGUGGGGAGCAAAAGGG